rnacentral:lncRNA from 1 species
CAUUUCUAAGAGCUCAACAAACAUUAUCUAUCAUAAGAGACAGAGAUUUGGAAUGAAGUCUAGAUGUUUCUGCAGAUUUAAGUGUAUAUGAGAAGGGCUCGGACUCCCGUUGGCAGGCUGAUGAAACGAAGGGUUGUUGUUCUCCCUACUUCCUCCAUCCAGUCUUGGGAAGAGACCUUUAAAGACAAACACCGACCCAUCAGAAGAGCUCAGCUCCACUUCUGUCUCACUCCUUGCUGUUUGCCUCUCAACUGUGAAAUGGGGAUGGUGUUAUUGGCUAACCUAUUGAGUUACGGCAAAGAAUGAGAAAAUAAGUUUCCGUAAGUAUAAAGUUUUACCUAGUUUCUUCUUUAAACAAAUAACAAUUGUAAAAUUAA